UGUAAAUUCUUAACCAUGUCCGUUUUUUCUAGACAAAUAUUGUCAAGAACAGGCUUCACAGUUAGAUUGAUAACCAUACUAGACAAUUUAUCCUUGUGCAAGGGGCAACAAAAUAACGAAUUUUCCUUCAAAUGAGGAUAUAAGCACUGAAAUGCUUGAUAUAAUGGCAUUUCAUAUUUUAAAAAAGUUUCGUUUGGAUAUGUUAGACCUCCACGAUCUUGCAAGAAUAUCAAACGGAGCAAAGGCCCUGGAAGUGUUGUGGAAACUAAUGGUGAUACACACACGUCACACUUUAAUUUAUCAUUCAGUUUCUUAAUUAUGUAACCUGCUAGGAACGCUACUGACGCAGAAUAUAUUGUAUUGUUAGCAGGCAUGUUUGUCUUCAAAUUUUGAAUUUUCAUUCUUAACUGAAAAGUUUCAGAAAUAUUUGCCGAUGUGGAAGCCUUAACAAUGCC